rnacentral:tRNA from 1 species
GCGGAAGUGGCGAAAUUGGUAGACGCACCAGAUUUAGGUUCUGGCGCCGCGAGGCGUAAGAGUUCAAGUCUCUUCUUCCGC